rnacentral:lncRNA from 10 species
GUCAUAACUUAUCCGUCACUUACCAUAUCCGCCGGGACAUUACUGGACAUCUUGCCGUUUGAUAUACACCCAGAUGUUUACGAAAAAAACAAACAAAGAAAAAAGAGCAGAAGUCUUCACGUUACAGAAAUAAACCACGAUUUUGACUGGUUCGUGAUGUGCUUUCUCCCCCAAAAAUAAAGUUAUUUUGGAGCCAAAGUGCCGGUCAGGCCGAGGUUCUGGUUCGAAGAGGAACAAUCCCCAGGAGCUGUGUGGCCGGAGCAGGAGGAAACUCCCGGGACAGCAGAGGCAGCCCCCGUCGUCGUCGUCGUCGUCAACAGCAGCAGCAGCCCCAGGACCGGCCGCGCCAGGUGGACCGAGCCGAGUGACACACGGACAUGGAGAGGGGUGGGAGGGGGUUAAAUGCGCCUUCCUCCUUUCCCAGCCCCGGCAAUGAUUCACACUUGCUCCCGAGUCAAGUCCUCAUUAAGCAGGAGAAAAAUGCCCCAGCGUGGAUGUACACAGAUAACUAUGUAGCUACACAUCGACGCGUGAGCCUUGAGUGGCGGCCGAGCGGUGGCCGGACGCUGGCCGCGGACCCUGCAGAGCCGCUGUCGGAGCGCCCGCGCGGACAGCGCGGGGAAACGGCUCAACUCGCGCCGCGGGGGCGAAGAGCCGGGCCGCGGAAACCCGCGCUCAAGGGCAUUUAACUAGUUGGAAGCCAAAGCGAAA